UAGGGAAUCUUCGGCAAUGGACGAAAGUCUGACCGAGCAACGCCGCGUGAGUGAAUAAGGUUUUCGGAUCGUAAAACUCUGUUGUUAGAGAAGAACAAGGACGUUAGUAACUGAACGUCCCCUGACGGUAUCUAACCAUAAAGCCACGGCUAACUACGUGCCAGCAGCCGCGGUAAUACGUAGGUGGCAAGCGUUUUCCGGAAUUAUUGGGCGUAAAGCGAGCGCAGGCGGUUUCUUAAGUCUGAUGUGAAAGCCCCCGGCUCAACCGGGGAGGGUCAUUGGAAGCUGGGAGCAUUGAGUGCAGAAGAGGAGAGUGGAAUUCCAUGUGUAGCGGUGAAAUGCGUAGAUAUAUGGAUGAACACCAGUGGCGAAGGCGGCUCUCUGGUCUGUAACUGACGCUGAGGCUCGAAAGCGUAGGGAGCAAACAGG
rnacentral:rRNA from 1 species